AGUGAACGCUGGCGGUAGGCCUAACACAUGCAAGUCGAACGGCAGCACAGUAAGAGCUUGCUCUUACGGGUGGCGAGUGGCGGGCGGGUGAGGAAUACAUCGGAAUCUACUUUUUCGUGGGGGAUAACGUAGGGAAACUUACGCUAAUACCGCAUACGACCUACGGGUGAAAGCAGGGGAUCUUCGGACCUUGCGCGAUUGAAUGAGCCGAUGUCGGAUUAGCUAGUUGGCGGGGUAAAGGCCCACCAAGGCGACGAUCCGUAGCUGGUCUGAGAGGAUGAUCAGCCACACUGGAACUGAGACACGGUCCAGACUCCUACGGGGGGCAGCAGUGGGGAAUAUUGGACAAUGGGCGCAAGCCUGAUCCAGCCAUACCGCGUGGGUGAAGAAGGCCUUCGGGUUGUAAAGCCCUUUUGUUGGGAAAGAAAAGCAGCAGGUUAAUACCCCGCUGUUCUGACGGUACCCAAAGAAUAAGCACCGGCUAACUUCGUG
rnacentral:rRNA from 1 species